rnacentral:lncRNA from 1 species
UCCGCCGUGCCAAAUUCAAGGGCUUCUUUUAGAAAGUCCUCUUCGUCCCUCUGUUUUCUCAUCAUUAUAGUCUAAAUUUUCUACUCUACUUUUAUGCCUGCAUCACAUCAUCCUGCUCUUCCUCUCUGUGUCCUUCCUCUCAUCUAUAAUAGAGGUCUGCUCUCCUCUUUCCUAUUCGCCUCUCUGCUCCCAUUCUCUUCAAAUAUCGCCCCAUCACUUCUUUGAUGUUUGUCUGCAGAGCAAUUACCGCCUGCCAGCUCUCUUAUCCUGCUCUCUCUCUCUCUCUUUCUCUCUUUCCUUGAUACACAUAUCUGCUGCUCACAUUCAGAUAAUAUUCAGGGUCCAUUAGGCUGCAUUAAAACCCAUAGGAGCUAUACAUCAUCUCUCAGCAAGCAGUCAGGGUAAGUAUCCGUUGCAUCCUCUCGCUGUCUCUCCACAUGCCCGAGCAUGUAAUAGCUCAUGAAUACUGAUUGCGUUUGAGCGUAAUUGGGUUUGCAUCUCUCAGCCUGGGCUGCCCGGCCGUAGAUACUACUAUGGUGUGUUUUUGGAGUCAUGCACCUACACACAUGCACUGGACACACAGAUCCUGAGCACGGCAAUGACAGGAGGCCCCCUCUUUGGGCUGAUCUGAGAACAGUUUGGCAGUUUUCCAUGCAAGAGUCGAGAACAGCCAGAGAGGGGAAUCGUGUCCCCACUAUACGGACUCUACCGGGAGGUGUAGUUGUACUGCACCACUACCUACCAGCAGUGACCCAAAGCCCAAAGCUCUACCUGCGAUCUCCAGCCUUCGGACUACGUUACCCAGAAUGCAUCACUCAGUGACAUCACUUAUUCACCCAGGAAGUCAAUCACCCGAAUUCUGAACACCUGUCCAGAGCUCUACUCAUACCCCUCACUUCUCUCUACAAAGCUUUGUUCAAUUCUUCCAUGUUUACCUACCUAGUUUUUGUUUUUUCUCGAUUUUUGCCUUGCCCUUUUUGCUGCUCUAUCGUGUAUGACCCUUGGACUGUUUAUCCAGCCUGGUAUGUUUAUCCUCUCAGGCUAUCGUUUGUUUACUGGUGGUGAGCUUGCUUUUUUUGACUAUCCUUUGUCCUGUGGCUUCAUUUAAUAAAAGCUUUCAUUCACAU